CUUAGAAGGACAGGGAGCUUCUACCCAGAGCUCCAGACCUUCAUCAUUUCACUUCAACAGAGGAACGACAGAGGGUCUUUCUUCCAGCAUUUACAUACAAAAUCCUCAGAAGGAGCCCUGCCUGUUUUAGCAGCCACGCCUGGGCCAGCUCAAGGAACGGAGAGGUGGCAGGUACUGGAUAUCAUUACUAUGACCAGCACCUCCACCACCACCACAUGAAAUAGGAUGUGCUAUUACCAGAAUAUGUAAUUAAGGGGGCAGAAGAAGAAAAAGGGGGAAAAAAGAUGUCUACGUAGUAUCAUCUGCCCCAUUUAUAAUGACUAAGAAAUCAAGAUCCAGAGAAGUUCAGCAAGUUGCCCGAAACACGCGGCUAGAUUCGAUCUCAGAUCUUUCUAUCCCUGAGACCCAGUCUCUUCCACUGUGCCUCAGUUCAUCCUUAUAAUACCAAACUGUUUGCUUUGCUUUACUCUAAAUGAACAUUCUCUGUCAUCGUUAUCUACUAAACUAAAUCAAGAGAUAAUUACUAUUCAUUUAUAGGUCACCUCCUGUGACUGGUAAAGUCCUUCAAUUAACCAGUGACGUGCUCAGCAAGGACAGGGAGGGUGCAGGCACAGACAUGGGGCUGAGCACUAACUGAGCAGGGACUGCCAAGGCCACUCAUACCGUGCUGGUGAGGGGAGAUGGUCAGCACAGAGAGGGAAAGGGGGAGGGGGUUUCCAACAGAGUCAUAAUGGUCUGGGGUUCCCAUAAAGAACUCCGUUGUCCGGAGAGGAGAAAAGCAUGAUAAUGCACGGUGAGUUUUCAACAGACAUUCCCCAAACCUGAGAGAUGACUAAAUAGGGGUGGAGGGUGGGGAGGGGUUCAGGCAGGAUGUAAGUGUCAUGAACAGAAAAAUCUCUGCUAAUUGUGCAGAAGAUAUAGACCUUGUUACCAUCGCAGGAGACUUCAGAAGCAGAGGAUCUCCAGUCUCGAAAGUUGCACCCUGCUUGUGUUCGGUGUUCCCGGCACCAGUCAGGGAAACAUGCCUUUGUUGAUGAGGUCAGCUUUGGAAUCCAUCCUUUCCAGUGACCAGAGGUAAAUUCCAGCAAGCAGCAAAGAGUGGUGGGAGAACAGGACUGGUCACGUGGAAAGAGAAUAACCCAAGGUGUAGCCCAUGGUGUCCUGUAGUUUGUCCACAGGGAUUUAAAGGGUUUUAUUAGCCAGACUGCUCCUGCAGCUCUGAGUGGACAGGGGAAAUGCUAGAAGGUCUUAACCGGGAGUGGAGAAUAA
rnacentral:lncRNA from 1 species